UAUAACUUUAGGUUUCGGGACACAGCAUGGAAACCACUACUCUAGACGACAGCCAUGUGACAUGCCUGCCCCCACUUUGCCUCCCACCACAAUUGGAAGCUUCCUGAGGCCUUCACCAGAGGCAGAUACUGGCACCAUGCUUCCUAUACAGCCUGCAGAACGGGAAAUCUUUGAACACCUCAGUUUGUCAGUGGCCACAUCUGUACAACGGGCUACUGGAAAUGUGCUCACCUUCAGAAGAUGCUAUUUCAAACCCACGCAUUUGCCCUGAGCCAUCUGCUUUCUAGAUGGCCCAUCUUGUAGCAACUCAUAGAUGACUUUUUCAGAUACUUGGUUGGGGGCGGGGUCAAGACCGUGUUUUGAGAAUAGACUUUUUCCCUGUGGGAAACUGAAAGGCUUGUGGUGUAAUGAUCCCUGGCCUGGGGCCUCCUUUGCACAGUUAAUUAAUUCCAACGACAAAUAUUUACUGUGCAUCGAGCGUAGCAGGCAGUGCCCUGACUGAUUAAGAUGAUCUGAUAUGGUAAUGCAGGGUGGACUUGAGAAAUUAAUGAUUUUAAAAUGUAGUUAGCAACCUAGGGUUCUGGAGGGACAAUGCCAGACUUUCUUCUGGUGUUCAAACCGUCCCAGACUGUGAAGGAACUGGUCCGUGAUGUCUGCCUGGGCUGCUUUGCCUCUGCUCCAUAGCUGAGGGAAGGGGCAGCUCUUGGCUCUCUGCCAGUGUUUGUAAUCCGCACAGCAGGCUCCCAUGUCUUCUGGGUGGGCCUGCAUCUUUUGUUACAUAUUUGUCCCCGAAUCCAGACCACUUCUGAGCUCUCUGGGGAGAAUGUGCCCAAGAGCUGUUCAGUGGGGUGGGCAGGCUGGUGGAAGUCCUCAAGCCUAAUUUGUUCCGCUUCCCUUCAGCCCUUCAGUCCUAAUUCAUUUGUUUGUAUUUGGGGGAAAAAAAAUCUCUCAUUAUUGUCUAUCCUUUAUUUCCUGGAAUUCAACAUGAAAGUUGUCAUUGUUUUAGUUUGUG
rnacentral:lncRNA from 10 species